rnacentral:rRNA from 1 species
UACGGGGGGGGCAAGCGUUGUUCGGAAUUACUGGGCGUAAAGGGCUCGUAGGCGGCCAACUAAGUCGGAUGUGAAAUCCCCAGGCUUAACCUGGGAACUGCAUCCGAUACUGGAUGGCUUGAAUCCGGGAGAGGGAUGCAGAAUUCCAAGUGUAGCGGUGAAAUGCGUAGAUAUCUGGAGGAAUACCGGUGGCGAAGGCGGCAUCCUGGACCGGCAUUGACGCUGAGGAGCGAAAGCUAGGGGAGCAAACGGG